UACCCGAGUCAGCCCGAUCACCAGAUCCGCGCGCGCCCGAUCGUUGCUCCCGGUUUUGCCCGUCCGACUCGCCCCGGUCUGCGUCGACAUCCCCCCACCUCCUCCACCCCCAUCCCCACGCCCAGCCCAUGCCCGCGCCGCAUUACCCUGCCAAAAACCGCCCAGCUCCCGUCCCCCUCCGCCGUGGAUCUGCGCCUCCCUCCUCCGCCGACCGGCGCCCCACUCCCAACGCUCGCCGGGGUCGUCGCUCGUUCAUCUCCCCCUCCACGCGCUCUCCCUCUCACGCACUCGCCACCGACAUCGCCCUCUGCAACGCUCCCACACGCUGGUCUCCCCGGGGUCACCCGAACCCGGCCGCGCGGUCACGCCGUGGAGCGCCGCCACCUGGAUCAUCGCGGACAUGCGGACUCGAGCCCCUCGACCUACCUCCGCGCGUCGAGCCCCAGGGUGCGGAGCGAGAGGAGAGGAUAGGGUACAGCACGGCCUGCCGCGGCCUGUGGAUGGUGACAUCGCCGCCCCGCCUCCGUCCAGCUCGGCCUCCGGGGUGAGUAGGUUGUGCUUGGCCCCCUCGCGCCGCUUGCCGUCACCGAAGCCACGCCGCAGCUGCCGCCCUAAUCGUUGGCUAGCAGUCUACCUGUCCAGGAAGAAGCUAGCAGGUAUUAAAUUUCAUUGGCGUCAUUUGAAUAAUUAUAUUGCUGUAAUGAAUGGGAUCAUGUCCUCCAAUAGGUACUAAUUUCAUCGGAUUUUGUCCUGCGUGCAGCCACUUGAUUAGGUUUGGUAAUUAGGGCUAAUUUUGCCGGAAAGGAUCUACCAUUUGCAGUAGUCCGUGAGGGCCUUUUACACUGAAUCCUAUGAAGAGGAGUACUAGAUGGAUUUAGAUAAAUUCUGUAUCUUUCCAUGGAGUGCUCACCGAAGUUUGAAUCUGUCAGAGUGAAUCUGCCCGAUCAACUGAAUUUUCUAAACAAAAUAUGCUAAUUGCUACUAUUUGUGCAGGCUCCUGAGAAUUCACUUCACUGUUUGAGUGCUAGAGGUUAUGAGCCUUGGCUGCUUCUCAAGUAAUCAGGAUAGACAAGCAUACCUUCGUUCUAGUGGCUAUCAAUGGCAAGAUUUCAGAUCUUUGUAAAUGAUCAAUCAGCUGUUGUUGCGGCUCCAAUGAAGUCCAGGCCAACAGCGUGCCUCAAUCAUGCUUGUAUAUUGUGCAGCAGGCCAGCUGCGAGGACUGCUUGCUGGAGUUGCUUGAUAGCAAGAGAUCGCACAUUCUGUAGCGUGGAGGAGUUGCUUGCUUGCCGCCGCAAUGACUAAGAUGAGGUCGCAAGGAAACUUCAAGAGUGGAUACAUGAGCAUGGAUUGCAGCGAGCUCAGUGUGAUAUGUCCGUGAUCUACGAGGAUAAACAUGCACUGUAUCAUUUAGGUGUACACAUUUAGCACCGUAUCAGUAGCUAGCUGAGAGAACGGCUACAAGGGACAAGAUGGGCCUUGAGACUGAUAGAGACAGAGAAUAAAUUGGAUUUAUUCUUCAAUUGUAUUUCUGGGCUCACCUGGUUGCUCAUUUGAUAAAUCUAUUUGCAAAAUACAUAUGAUGCAAUUGGAAAUAUUAUAGCGGCACUGCUUUA